UCAGCGGCGGACGGGUGAGUAACACGUGGGCAACCUGCCUGUGAGACUGGGAUAACUUCGGGAAACCGGAGCUAAUACCGGAUAAUAUAAGGAACCUCCUGGUUCUUUAUUGAAAGAUGGUUUCGGCUAUCACUCACAGAUGGGCCCGCGGCGCAUUAGCUAGUUGGUGAGGUAACGGCUCACCAAGGCGACGAUGCGUAGCCGACCUGAGAGGGUGAUCGGCCACACUGGGACUGAGACACGGCCCAGACUCCUACGGGAGGCAGCAGUAGGGAAUCUUCCACAAUGGACGAAAGUCUGAUGGAGCAACGCCGCGUGAGCGAUGAAGGCCUUCGGGUCGUAAAGCUCUGUUGUUAGGGAAGAACAAGUGCGAGAGUAACUGCUCGCACCUUGACGGUACCUAACC
rnacentral:rRNA from 1 species